rnacentral:rRNA from 1 species
CCAGCGAGAGAACUGUUGUUAAGGAACUCGGCAAAAUGACCCCGUAACUUAGGGAUAAGGGGUGCCACCAUCAGGUGGCCGCAGAGAAUAGGCCCAAGCGACUGUUUACCAAAAACAUAGGUUUCUGCUAAGUCGCAAGACGAUGUAUAGGAGCUGACGCCUGCCCGGUGCUGGAAGGUUAAGGGGAUCUGUUAGAGCAAUCGAAGCAGUGAACUUAAGCCCCAGUAAACGGCGGCCGUAACUAUAACGGUCCUAAGGUAGCGAAAUUCCUUGUCGGGUAAGUUCCGACCCGCACGAAAGGCGUAACGAUUUGGGCACUGUCUCAACAACAGACUCGGUGAAAUUGUAAUUCCGGUGAAGAUGCCGGAUACCUGCGACAGGACGGAAAGACCCCAUGGAGCUU